rnacentral:rRNA from 1 species
AUUGAACGCUGGCGGCAUGCCUUACACAUGCAAGUCGAACGGUAACAGGCCGCAAGGUGCUGACGAGUGGCGAACGGGUGAGUAAUGCAUCGGAACGUGCCCAGUCGUGGGGGAUAACGCAGCGAAAGCUGCGCUAAUACCGCAUACGAUCUAUGGAUGAAAGCGGGGGACCGUAAGGCCUCGCGCGAUUGGAGCGGCCGAUGUCAGAUUAGGUAGUUGGUGGGGUAAAGGCUCACCAAGCCAACGAUCUGUAGCUGGUCUGAGAGGACGACCAGCCACACUGGGAGUGAGACACGGCCCAGACUCCUACGGGAGGCAGCAGUGGGGAAUUUUGGACAAUGGGCGCAAGCCUGAUCCAGCAAUGCCGCGUGCAGGAAGAAGGCCUUCGGGUUGUAAACUGCUUUUGUACGGAACGAAACGGUCCUGGUUAAUACCUGGGGCUAAUGACGGUACCGUAAGAAUAAGCACCGGCUAACUACGUGCCAGCCGCCGCCGUAAAAC